UGGGGUGUCGUCUAACGGUAGGACAUCAGGUUCUGGUUCUGAGGGUCGGGGUUCGAUUCCCUGCACCCCAGCAA
rnacentral:tRNA from 1 species